CCAGUAGUCAUAUGCUUGUCUCAAAGAUUAAGCCAUGCAUGUCUCAGUACAAGCCAAAUUAAGGUGAAACCGCGAAAGGCUCAUUAAAUCAGUUAUGGUUCCUUAGAUCGUACCCACAAUUACUUGGAUAACUGUGGUAAUUCUAGAGCUAACACAUGCAAACAGAGCUCCGACCGGAGACGGAAGGAGUGCUUUUAUUAGAUCAAAACCAAUCGGUGGCGGGUUCUCGCUCGUCAUCGUACAACUUGGUGACUCUGAAUAACUUUACGCUGAUCGCACGGUCAUCGCACCGGCGACGCAUCUUUCAAAUGUCUGCCUUAUCAACUGUCGAUGGUAGGUUCUGCGCCUACCAUGGUUGUAACGGGUAACGGGGAAUCAGGGUUCGAUUCCGGAGAGGGAGCCUGAGAAACGGCUACCACAUCCAAGGAAGGCAGCAGGCGCGCAAAUUACCCACUCCCGGCACGGGGAGGUAGUGACGAAAAAUAACGAUACGGGACUCAUCCGAGGCCCCGUAAUCGGAAUGAGUACACUCUAAACCCUUUAACGAGGAUCAAUUGGAGGGCAAGUCUGGUGCCA
rnacentral:rRNA from 1 species